UUGAUUCAUAAGGUUUUUUUUUUUCAUUUUAAUUUAAAAAUUGCAGGUAAUUUCAAUUAAUUGGGUAUCCUUUAUUUUAACUGGCUGCUGCAGUUUCAAUGUUGUUUUGAUUUAUGCUGAUCUGGGAAAGAAAGUUGAUUUUGAUCUGGAUUAGGCAAAUGACACAGAAAAUCCUAAGACUCAAUUAUCUAAGCCAGCAAUUUUUGCUAAUUGUCAAACUAAUUUUUGGUAUUUGACUUUUCAUUACAUGCCUGUAUUGGGCGGUAAAAAAUGGUUAUUUGAUUUUUGGGUGAAGGGCUUGCUGCUUGUAUCCAUAACUUACCUAUGAAAUGUAGGUAUAGUUAAUGCACUAAAAUUUCUUAACAAAAAGGAAAUAUUUUCUCAACUGGCCAGCUGAAGCACUAUUGCUGUUGUUAAGUUAAAAGGCUGAUUUGACACUGCUAUUUAAGAAAGCAACCCAGCACCUAUUAUAGCAAUUCUUAGUUGACAAUUUGUGUAUGCAAACUGUGAUAUUUGUUGCAUGCUUCAAACUAUUAUUCUUGGUUUGUCCUGUGAUUGUGACAGUUAAACUAAUUUAAUCUUUUUUACCACCUUGUAGGAAGAACUUCAAUUAGCACUGUUUCAAACUUCUUAUGGCAAGAAUCUCUUCCUGGACAGGGUAAUGAAUGGACUUGUGUGUCAUGUUCCCGAACAAAUAUUGCAAACCAUCGCUUCAAUUGAUUUCUUGAUGGGAUCACAACAUGAUGGAAAUGGCAGUCUAUUGUACUAGCAUUUGUUAAAUUAUGAUUGUGUAUGUUAGGAUAUAAAACCUAACUGGCAGUUGCAGAAAAGAAUUAGAGUAGAAAAGGAGAAAGAAAGGGAAGAGAAGAGAGAGAACAGAGGGAAUAGAUGAUGAAUACAGGAGUUUUACAGCCCCUUUAUACCCAAUUUCCUGGCAGAACUCUAACUAAUUUUCCCUCCAUUCUCCAGCUGCUUUUUGUUGACUUUCUACCUCUACAACUAGCUAUAUAUGCCCUUUUCCCUAUACUUUCUCCUGCCAUACGUGGCAAUACCUCCUCCAUGAGAACAUUUCUCUCCCCAAUAAUGUGUAAAUUCUGGAAAUUGAGCUUGAAUAAAGGCUCCGUCCUCCCAGGCUGCAUCUUCUAGUGGCAGAUAAGUCCGCUGAUUGAGAUCUUGAGUAACCUUCUGGUUAUUCCUGAGAAUUGUUCUUGACUGCAACCUGAAUAUAGCUUCUGUCGUUCCAAGUUUCAGGUGUUUACUCUUUUUUCAGCUGAAAAUACGAACUCUUAAUUGACA
rnacentral:misc_RNA from 1 species